GACCUAAUCAUAUUAAGUUAUAUAUACGACUGUUAAAAGAAAUUUACACAAUCAUAUAAUUAGUUGUUAUAAUAACAAAUAAUCUACCUUAUUUUUAAGAUUAUAAAUUCAUAUAUUUCUGAUUGACUUGAUAAUGUACAGAAAUUUUACACUAUUGACCUAGAUAACUUAAAUUUAAGUAAAACACAAGCGUGAUUUUUUUAAGGGAAUCUGGAUUGGUGUGUCUCAACGUGAAUAUUGGACGCAGACAAUUGAUCCUUCUUUGCAGACGCGGGAAUCCUCUCGUCAUGACUGGAAUGCACAUGGAAAGGAAGCUAACACUUAAUUUUGCAAGAAAUCGCUCCUUUAAUUUGUGUUCCGUUUGGAGCAAUUUUUCAUGAUGCUUCAGCUUCAGAUCACUUCGAUGACUUGCAGAAACGGAUAAUUUUUUGGUGCAUGCUUGCAUUUCCUCUCCGUGGGAAAUUUUCUGGCUUCUGAAAUUUGCAGAUCUUGCGGACAUGUGAGUCCUCGCCUUUGUUUUGCAGUUGCGCUCCGCACCAUCUUUGCUGGCGUCAAGCGAAGAACCUGUUGGAACACUCACAUCACGUGACAAGACCUUGGAGUCACCCAUUUCAAUACUUAAGUUGCCAAAACAGCUAAGCUUUUGGUGUAUGCUGGGAUCUCCUGUCUCUGGGCUUUACCAGUUGUACGCCUCUUGAAAUUCACAGUUCUACUCAGCAGGGAAGUCCUUGCUUUUGUUGUUUGAAGAUCACGUUCCGCACCUUUGCAAGCGUCAUGGCAAGAACCUUGUGGACCACUCAGAUAACGUGACAAGACCUUGGAUUUAGCAAUUUGAAUGCCUAAGCUUCCAGUUGAGUUCCUUCUCAAAAAGCGAACUUCACGCUCAAUUCUAUCCAGAUGCGCAGCCAAUGCUUCAGCUUGAAUAUUAGUGUUACAUUGUAUUGGUCUGAAAGUGCCACGAUGACCUCUCCUUCACUGUCUCUGAUGACUGCACCUAUUCCCGCUCUUCCGUUGCUGCUGAUGUAGCUUCCAUCCAAAUUUAGUUUGAUGCAUCCUACAUUUGGUUUGAUCCAUCUAACUUGUUUAAUAAUCACCACUGGUUAAGUCUUUCAAUGGUAUUGAACAUGGUUGCCAGUUUCCUAUGAUGCUACAUUUUGGAAAUUCUAAUUAUAAUACUGCUUGUAGAUUCCAUAUUGUUUGAUAUUC